rnacentral:rRNA from 1 species
UACGUAGGGGGCAAGCGUUGUCCGGAUUUACUGGGCGUAAAGGGCUCGUAGGUGGCCAACUAAGUCAGACGUGAAAUCCCUCGGCUUAACCGGGGAACUGCGUCUGAUACUGGAUGGCUUGAGUUUGGGAGAGGGAUGCGGAAUUCCAGGUGUAGCGGUGAAAUGCGUAGAUAUCGUAAGGAAGACCAGUGGCGAAGGCGGGUCUCUGGACAGUUCCUGACGCUGAGGCACGAAGGUCAGGGGAGCAAACGGG